rnacentral:rRNA from 1 species
UUAAACGGCCGCGGUACCCUAACCGUGCAAAGGUAGCAUAAUCAUUUGUCUACUAAUUAUAGACCUGUAUGAAAGGCAAAAUGAGGGUCUAACUGUCUCUUAUAAUAAAUCAAUUAAACUGAUCUCCUAGUAAAAAAGCUAGAAUAACAACAUAAGACCAGAAGACCCUGUGAAGCUUAAAUCAAACUAUUAAACCAUAUAAUAACUAUUUUCGGUUGGGGCGACCUUGGAAAAAAAAAGAACUUCCAAGACCCAGCACAGCUGAUAAUUGAACCAAGUUACUCCAGGGAUAACAGCGCAAUCUUCUUCAAGAGUCCAUAUCAAAAAGAAGGUUUACGACCUCGAUGUUGGAUCAGGACAUCCUAAUGGUGCAGCCGCUAUUAAGGGUUCGUUUGUUCAACGAUUAACAGUCCUACGUGAUCU